CAAGUUACUUGCUGAGAAAGGCAAGAAAAAUCGACAUAGUUUACACACCUAUUGAUUUGUCAUAAGAUGUCAACUAGAGAACAAAAAAAACCCAAACAGAUUAAUGGACAAGAGUGUUAAUUGCAAUGAUAUAUAAAAAAGCCAAAAUUACAUAAUAGCUCUAACGUAAUAGCUCUGACACGCAACAUAAGAAGAUAAAGAAUGAACUAUCUAUAGGUAAUAUUUAAAAAUAUAUGUAGAAACCAUUAAGGCAUUGUUGACUCAAGGACACUGGAAGAGAUGCUGGCCCAAUCC
rnacentral:lncRNA from 1 species